UUGAUGAAAUGUGUAAAAGGAUUUGAUUUGAGCAUGUCUGUCUGUGGUCAUUGACUUCACCUUCAUCCCACUUUCAUCAAACUUUGCCAGACAUCUUUUUAAUCCCUCAAGUUCCAUUGCUCCAGAGUUCGUCACUUCAUUGGACUGUGUAACAUAAUUAUAUUCCAAAUCCAUGCAGCUAUAUGACCCAUACUUGGCACAAUAUCCAGGCGAAUCACAUCUUCCAUCUCCUUCAAGGUUAAUGUGCCUUUCUCUGAUUGAUUCUAGAAGAUGCUUUUGGUUCAUAUGCCAAACAUUUGAAACACUGGGUAUCAAAUACGCUGUUUGAAUAUUGCUAUAUGU